rnacentral:rRNA from 1 species
AGAGUUUGAUCCUGGCUCAGGAUGAACGCUAGCGACAGGCUAACACAUGCAAGUCGAGGGGCAGCAUAGAAGUAGCAAUACUUGGUGGCGACCGGCGCACGGGUGAGUAACGCGUAUGCAACCUACCUAUCAGAGGGGAAGUAACCCGGCGAAAGUCGGACUAAUACCGCAUAAAAACAGGGGCACCGCAUGGUGAUAUUUGUUAAAGAAAUUCGCUGAUAGAUGGGCAUGCGUUCCAUUAGGUAGUUGGUGAGGUAACGGCUCACCAAGCCGACGAUGGAUAGGGGAACUGAGAGGUUGGUCCCCCACACUGGUACUGAGACACGGACCAGACUCCUACGGGAGGCAGCAGUGAGGAAUAUUGGUCAAUGGGGCGGGAGCCUGAACCAGCCAAGUCGCGUGAAGGAAGAAGGAUCUAUGGUUCGUAAACUUCUUUUGCAGGGGAAUAAAGUGCAGGACGUGUCCUGUUUUGUAUGUACCCUGAGAAUAAGGAUCGGCUAACUCCGUGCCAGCCGCGGC